rnacentral:rRNA from 1 species
GGGGAAUAUUGCACAAUGGGCGCAAGCCUGAUGCAGCCAUGCCGCAUGUAUGAAGAAGGCCUUCGGGUUGUAAAGUACUUUCAGCGAGGAGGAAGGUGCUGAGGUUAAUAACCUCAGCAAUUGACGUUACUCGCAGAAGAAGCACCGGCUAACUCCGUGCCAGCAGCCGCGGUAAUACGGAGGGUGCAAGCGUUAAUCGGAAUUACUGGGCGUAAAGCGCACGCAGGCGGUCUGUCAAGUCGGAUGUGAAAUCCCCGGGCUCAACCUGGGAACUGCAUCCGAAACUGGCAGGCUAGAGUCUUGUAGAGGGGGGUAGAAUUCCAGGUGUAGCGGUGAAAUGCGUAGAGAUCUGGAGGAAUACCGGUGGCGAAGGCGGCCCACUGGACAAAGACUGACGCUCAGGUGCGAAAGCGUGGGGAGCAAAC